UGCUAGGCUAACCGGGGGGGUAGGCGUCCCCUUAUACACCGAAAUCGUCUUCAGCGGGGGUGACGGCCGAUUACGGCGUAUCAGACAUGCAGGCGGACCACAUCGCGACGAUGAGGCCCUGUCCCGUGGGGCCGGAGUUGGCGAAUGACCGCAGCCGGAGGGCGGCGGUUGUCGUCUUGGUUUCGGAUAUCGGGUCAGGCCCUGACGGGAGCAGCCUUACCGACUACUACCGACGCUCAUGGGGUGGCGGGGCCGAGAAGUGGUGUACAAUCUACCUGUAUGUGCUGGCGACAAGGUCGGUGCCUAGCA
rnacentral:SRP_RNA from 2 species